CCACAAGAAAGUGCUUACUGAAAUAACAGAAAAAUGGAUCAUAAAAAUGAGUCACUCCUCUAAAAAUGGCCUAGUGGCAAGCUACUUGGCUGUCUGAAUUAAUGAUGCCAAGGUCAAGAAUAUGAGGUUGGGAAUUUAAAAGUAUUCUCACAAAAGAAAUUCUCUCACUUUAAUAAAUUUCCCUCAAACUCACAUUGUCUCAAGUUUUACAACAGCUACACCAUUAUUAAUGAGACAUGACUCAGACACACAUCACAGAACCUCUACUAGCUCUUUCUGGCGCUCACCACAAAAGCAUCCGUGUGAUCAUCGGAGUCUAUUUCCACAUCAUCUGGAACCUGUUCAACCGUCAGAGCUUCAAGGGGCUGUGGCUGAAAAUUAAGGUGUCAGAGUCAAUAUGGAACAAGUUCUUCUAGAAAAAUCUACGGUCUUGAGAAGGAAUAGACUAUCCAUUAAAAAACGGUCCGUUUGAAGUUAUCUCCUUGAAGGAUUUGCAAAGCAUCUGGACUAUGAUUGACUGCAGGCUGGUAGAAAGAGUAUGUUUUUAAAGUAGCAUACUAUAAAAGGAAUCAGUAAACGACAAGACUCGGACUGAAGAGAGAUAGCAAAUGACAAAGCCACACACAGAAGACAAAUAUCCAGAGCCAUCCGAUUCAGCUAUCCCUGACUCGCGUGAUCAAUGGGUCUUCUGAAGAUUUUACACAAAAGGCCGAUGAUUUUCAGUUUUGAGGAGCCAGUGUCUUUCGGGGCUCCUGAAUCAAGAUUAUGAUAUGCGCACCACUCUGUUUUCACACCUUGCCCUGGUCAGUUUUUUGUCAAAUUGACAAAAGUUAGGGUCAUCUGGGAGGAGAUCACCUGAACUGGGAAAAUGCCCCCAGCAGACUGGCCUGCUGGCAAACCUGUAUGGCAUUUCUGUAAUCCAUGAUUGGUAUGAGGGCCCUGUUCACCUGGGUGGUGCUACCUCAGGGCAGGUGGUCCUGGGUUCUACAAGCAAUCAAGCUGAGCAAGCCAUGAGGGUGCUAGCCAGUAAGCAGCAUCCCCCGUGGCCUUUGUAUCAGUGCCGGGUUCCUGUCUUGUUUGAGUUCCUGCCCUCGCUUCCCCCAGUGAUGGACUGUGCUGUAGAAUCAUAAGUGAAAACAAGCCCUUUCCCCCCAAAGCUGAUUUUGGCCAGGGUGUUUAUCACAGCAACAGAAACACUCACACGGAAUUUGUGUGAGCCCAUGGGGUGCUGUAUGACCAUGUGUUUUGGGGAGGAUUGUGAUGGCAUUUGAACUUCGGGCUAGAAAAGCCAGUAAGUGCUCAAAGCCUAGUAGUGAGUUGUUUCCUGGGGUGCAAAUGAAGUGUAGCCGAAAUAAAUCCUUUGCUCCCUACAUUGCUUUGGUCAUAGUGUUUCAACACAGUAAUAGAAAACUAAAACAAACAUCGAUCUCCACCUGUCUAACUAGGUGACACAGGCUGGUCAGACCGGGCACUCAAUGCCCGCCCCCCCCCUUCCCCCGUCUCUCUCUCUCACACACACACACACACACACACACAGAGCUUGGCCCUGUCGAGUAGAGUAAUGGCUGAAGCUGGAGCUGAAGUUGGAGUAUGACUACCACAGUGACAAGCUGUGAUAUAUCAUAUUGCAAGCUGUUUGGGUCAGGCUGAAUUCAUUCCAGAGGCCACAUUUGGCAACUCUAUUCUUAAAUAACAAAAAGUAUUCUAUUUGAAGAACAGAAAGCACAAGGUUGUUUACUACUCAGUAAGUAUUCAGCAUGACAGGGGUCAGGCUAGGUUAGCCACAUAAAUGAACACAGAGGGAGCAGCAACAGACACUGUGCAUGGUGGCAUCCUACUGUAACCCCAACUCCUGGGUGGGCACAGCAAGAGGAGUGCUGUGAAUCUGAGGCCCAGCCUGGGCUACAUGGUGAGUUCAUCAGUCAGCACUAUAGAGACUCUGCCUCAAAAAAAAUCUCAAACUAAACAAAACCAAGCGAUAAACAAUAUACAAACAUCAAUUUAUCAAACACCCAUGUAGACUACCACACCUUCCCAGCCUUGAUGACAAAUUAUGUCUGGGGGAGUCCUUGCCUAGUUUGUACAAGGCCCUAGGUUUGAUCUCCAGUACACAGACAAAAGAAAUGACCAUAUUUCUUUAGACUUCCUUCCUAUCAAACUAUGUAUGAUUAUCCAUUUAAUGGGUUGCUUCCUCAGCCAGAAGGACGGCUCUGCACCAGCAGGGGCCGUGCGUUGGUUCAACGUCUUGACUGUUGAUCAUGGAGCACAAAGUGAUACUGUUUUCGCAGGGCUUCUACUGCUGUGAUAAAACACCAUGACCGAAAGCAACCUUGGGAGGAAAGGGUUGAUUUCAGCUUAUGUGUCCUAACCACAGUCCAUCGUGAAGGGAAGUCACGGCAGGAGCUCAAGGCAGGACUGAAGCAAGGCCAAGGUGGAUUGCUGCUUACUGGCUUACUCCUUUUUACUAAUGUUUAUUUACACGUAUGAUCAUGUAUCUGUGUGUAUGCCACGCAUGUGUCUCUAGAGGGUGGCGGAUCCCCUGGUGUUGGAGUAACAGGAGGAUGUGAGCUAUCUGAUAUCGGGGCUAAGAAUUGAACUGGGGUCCCCUGAAAGUGCAGCAACCACUCUUCACUACUGACCCACCUCUCAGCCUCUUGGGGAGCUGUUUCUUUCUUUCAGUGUUGGGGACUGAACCAGGGUUUUGAACAUAAUAGCAAAACGCUCUAUCAGUGAGUUACAUCCCUAGUCCUUCAGUCCUUUUUCUUAUCUGUUUUUGAAACAUGGUCUUACUAUGCCACCUUGGCUGGUCUGGAACUUGCUAUGUAGACCAUGCUGGCCUCGAACUUACAGAGAUCCAAGUGCCUCUACCUCCUAGAGCUUGGAGACAAGAGAGAGAGAGAGAGAGAGAGAGAGAGAGAGAGAGAGAGAGAGAGAGAGAGAGACAGAGACAGAGACAGAGACAGAGAGACAGAGACAGAGGUGGGAGAGAGAAAGAGAGAGAGAGAGAGAGCCCACCACACCUUGUGCAUAUUACUCUCUUAAUAGCAAGUUGAGUGGCAGAAUCCUUGCCCAGCAUAUGCAAGGGUCAAUUCCUAGUUCCACAAAAGCAAAACAAAACAAAACAAAAACCCCCCAGCAAGUUGAUAACUACUAUUAAUUUUUUAAAAGACAAACAGUCUGGCUAUGUAGCCAAGGCUGGCUGGACUAGAACUUGCUAUGUAUACUAGGCCUGAACUUGUGGAAAUCCUGUCUUUGUUGCUCUAGUAUUUGAUUUCAAAGUAUCUACUAUGCUUAACUUAUAACUACACUGUCUUUUCUCUGUUAAAAUAAUAAAAUCAAUAUUUUGAAGCUAU